AACGAACGCUGGCGGCAGGCUUAACACAUGCAAGUCGAGCGCCCCGCAAGGGGAGCGGCAGACGGGUGAGUAACGCGUGGGAAUCUACCCAUCUCUACGGAAUAACGCAUGGAAACGUGUGCUAAUACCGUAUACGUCCUUCGGGAGAAAGAUUUAUCGGAGAUGGAUGAGCCCGCGUUGGACUAGCUAGUUGGUGGGGUAAAGGCCUACCAAGGCGACGAUCCAUAGCUGGUCUGAGAGGAUGAUCAGCCACACUGGGACUGAGACACGGCCCAGACUCCUACGGGAGGCAGCAGUGGGGAAUAUUGGACAAUGGGCGCAAGCCUGAUCCAGCCAUGCCGCGUGAGUGAUGAAGGCCCUAGGGUUGUAAAGCUCUUUCACCGGUGAAGAUAAUGACGGUAACCGGAGAGGAAGCCCCGGCUAACUUCGUGCCAGCCGCCGCGGUAAGAC
rnacentral:rRNA from 1 species